GGCGCGUUUCCGGGGAGCGGGGCGCUCCCGGGAAUCCCGGGGCCUUCAGGGCUGGGAAAGGAGCUGAGAGGCCAGCGAGUCCAGCCGCUCACGCAGCACAGCCGGGCUCAGUUUCCUUCUCAGCUUCCAAAUUGUAGAGGGACAAGGUGGAGUUUUGUACUUCUAUGAAAUGAUGUACAUUUUGCUGGCAUUUGCCCCCUAAGAAGAAUAAGGACCUGCACUCAAAAAAGAAACAAGUAAAGAAAAAUCCAAAGUGAAGGAUCCUGGAGGAACCCCUUGAGAGCUGAAGAUCACCCUUCCCCUUUCACCUUCACGUGAAAGACACGUCAUUUACUCUGCUUCUAGCAGAUUUGAGAAAACCAAGUCUUUAAAAGCCAAGAUCAGGGUUUAGAUGACACAAGAAUACAACCAGAGAGAGUUCUUGGAAAUCUUCUUUAUUCAAGAAAGCAAAAUCAAGCAAGGGAAGUUAUGUGGACUAAAAUUCUUGGUACCUAUAUGUUCUGUGUAAGAACCUUUAGAGGACUGAGGCUCCUACCAUGUGCAGCUUUGCAAGAGUGUAACAUGAGGAAAACAUACUAGACACUACUGCACCCACAAGCAAACAGACCUUCAGAGCCUUUCAGCCUUGAUUUACUGACCAGCAGAAGUAUAUGGGUGUAAAGAGAGCAGGAAGCCAUUUCCACCCAGGUUUCUGUCAAGGGAGCAAGCGUGGAGAACGUGAUGCAGAAU
rnacentral:lncRNA from 1 species